UGGUAGAGCUCCAGCCAUCUCAAGUAUUGUUAAGUAUUUUCUCGUUUGACUUUUGCUAACCUGCCUGUGUCUUCUUGUACGCCAGAUCGAGACUACAUGGAUAUUACCCAGGCUGGAUCGUCGUACAGCUUUGUUAAGCUCACUUUGUCUCGGACCUUUGGAGUACCUGAGCUUCACAGUUGUUAUCGUUCUACUGGACUAACUUUGCUGGUUGCUGCCAGGUGCCUCUUGCCUCACACCGAUUCCACAGAACCUGUCCACCCUCCACCGCUCACAAGCGACCCAGCUCCAGCACCGUACCACCACUCGCUGUUGCACACUCCUGGUUUGGAGCCUUCGUUCUCACCGCACUGUGUGCUCAUUCCGGUCUGUCUGAAUCCUCCUACUCCUGGCAGAGAACUCACCCAGCCUACCUCGCCAUGUACCAUUGCAACCAGUAUUCCUGUAUUCAAUAAACUUUCCUGUUUCUCCUGAGCAUUUCCUAAAUAACUCGGGUGUUUAACGGUUCUGACAGAAACAACAAACCCGAAACGUUUCCAAAGCGGCUGCAAAGUAAGAGACGACUUACAGGAAUGAGAAACUGAGCUGCUCCCAGAUAUAUGUUACUCACCACUCAAAGACAUCAUUUUACACAGCCCUGCCAACAUCUGAGGACAAAUUCAUUUUUGAAGUUAUUUCUAUUAGUCCCACACAUUAGCUUAAAAUGGCAUUUUUGUUCAGAUGUUAAAAUACAUGAGACUUGUUCCACACAUCGGAGAAUAUUAUGUUUGCAAGUUUCCUGUGGGAUUUUAGGCUGUUUUGAUUUCUCAUUCUAGUGCUACAAUAACAGAUUUACAUCUGUAUUCCUCCUUCUGUAUAAUGGACUCUUUACGAUCUUGUGAUCAACUGAGUGAGCAGAUUGGUUCCAGAUCAGAUGUCAUUAUGAUGGCUCUGCAGGGUAAAAACACAUCUGACAUCCACAAAUCUACACUCAUUAUUGAAUUUGCUAACCCUCCAUUCUUCUCUGUCCGGUAAAUUUGUGUUUAAUGCUGGAAUAAUUCUAUGAAUUUCAAUGACUCAUCCUCUGUGACCCAUCUAACACUGAUAAGACUGGAUUUAAGAGUGAGAUUUCCGACUUGGCCUUAAUGUUGCAUAAAACUAAAUUACAUAACAUCAUGAUAAGCAAGGAUCAGUGUCAUAAAAUGCCUUAAAAUAGCACAUGUUCCCUGGAAUGAGCAUCUGCUGUGUUCAUGUUGAAUUUGCUCACAGUCAGACCAACUGCAUUUUGGUUUGUUUUGUCCUUUGACUUAACAUCAGUGUUACCAGAGAGCUCCAGCAUGUUCAAAUAUAGACAUUGCAAUCAUCUGUGCAGCUAAAUCAUUUUUAUUUGACAGAUUGUUUUCUGUUCCUUAAGUUCCUCUCCAGUCUCAGGUUCUUCUCUGUCCUGUGUUGGUCUGGUCUCUUCCGUCAUUUCAUCAGCAGGACCUGUAAGCCUGAGGUUUGAGGUUUGCACAGCAUGCAUUUACUCACAUGAUAAGGUCAAAUGUCAGGACUGAUCAGCAGUAGGUCGCUCUAAACUACUGAACAGCAGAUUUACUGGAUUUUCUGUAGGAAUCAUGCAUCUAUGCACAGAUGUGUUCUGUCCAAGUCCAGUAAACCUUUUUAAAGGGAGAUUUGUUCUAUUUUAGGAGAAAUUUCCUUUGUACAACUGAUUUCAUUUCAAACGUGCAGAACAGAUGUUUGUUUUCUGUGUUCCUCUCAUCUGCCAACUAAUUAUCUUCUACCCUGAAGAACACACUGUACAAAAUGCUCUUCUAAACUCAGGGCUGUUUUUGAAGUUUUUGGACGCAUCCCUGGUUUGCAAAAUCUGUUCGUUACAAAGAAAAAACAAUUCCUCUUUAGUUCAUAAAAAGAAAUGACAGAAUAAAGUUGUAGGACAAUUACGUCUCCAAAGAUUAUUUGCAUAUUCUCAUGGCCCUUCACCAGGGGUGCCCAAAGUGCAGUUCAAGGCCCCUGGUGGGCCUUGGAAUAAUUUUGUGCGGCCCCAGACUGCAGUUCAACAUCUGGCCUGCUAGCAAAUGGAGCUAAUGCAGAUGCAGACAUUUUGUAUCAUGAGAUUUUCAAUACAAGUUUAUAUCUUCUUAAAUGGAAAUUGAUAGCUACAACGGCAGAUUUUUCUUUUAUUCACCAUGAUUUCUAGCUUUCAUUUUGAUAUUGUAGUAAGUUGGGCCACAAACACCCAGUUGCUUUUUAUAAACAACCUCGGGCUGGACCCGUUCAUUAAACUUGGCUAAAAACAGGUUUUUUGUUCCAACCGCAAACCUCAUUGUACCUAUUUUUAUGUGAUAGACCAAGAUCAAGUAGAGCAGUAGAUGAGUAGAACUGUGAUAAAGAAGGAAACAAAUAUCUGCAUUUUAAUUAUUUUUACAUAUAGCCACCUAAACUGUGGCAUGCGACUGUUUUAAGCCAUCUUUACUUUUAUAAUCCCAAAUAAAUUACAUUGCAACUAAUCACCUUCAAAUUCACCUAUGUAGUAAAUAUUGUAAGGUCCACCUGUGUCAUUUAAUUUAACUGCAGAUGUUGUUUCUGGCCUCUGAAGUUUGCAAGAGACCAAGGAACACAGCAGACAGUUCAGGGAGAACAUUGUGGAGAAGUUUUAAAAAAAAGAUUUUCAAACUUCUUCAGCAAACCUCUACAGCAAAAAGAGGUUCUACAAGAUACUGACUCAGAAAGAUAAACAGAAAUGCAGGCCACACUUUUCAAAUAUUUAUAUACCAAUAUAAUUAUGCAUCCUUUUCCUUGCACUUCAUAACUUUGCACUAUCUUUUGGUUUAUCACAUAAAAUCCCAAUAGAAAACACUGAAUGAGCUCUGUUCACUUAGGCAGCACUGAGUUGCAUGCCAGGCCCUGGUUGGUGCAGAAGUCAAAGCAGAUUCAAAGUUUCUUGAUUAGGUAAUAUAUGUGCCAAACACUGUUCUGUUGUCUUUUGUUGAGUAUUUAUUGCACAUUAGGGUAGUGAAAUUAAAUACAAGUACAAAUAAACUUGUGCUUCCUCUGAAUGUUUCAACACAAGAGCUAAAAUUAUUUCUGUUUCUGAGAACCUGGAGAAAGAAGACCUAAACAUUUCUGUCAUUCCUACACUUUGAACACUGUGACAUUUUUAAGCCUUCUGGUUGUAAUCUGAUGAAAAUAAAGUGACAAGAACAUGACAGUUUCAACAGCAAUUACAUCUGUGCCCGGGGCACUUCACCCUACCCUGCUCACCUAAGUCAACUGUCAGAACCUACCUCACACACCUGCCUGCCAGGUUACAAGAGCAAGACUUGUUGCCUCCCAUUGUGUCUGUCUGACGCUCCGCCUGCAGAUCACUUCCACAAACUUCAGAAACCAACACAACUGUGUUUGUGCACAAAACGUUAACUAAAGUGAAAUCUUCUCGUUUAAUUUAGGUAUGAGCCACCUUAGGAUUUCAAGAAAGAUUUUGUUUACUUCUUUGCACUUUUAUCUAAAAAUUACAAUGAAGCUGCCUCAUCUUUUAAACUUAAAAACCUUCAGUCAUGCAAUUAAUACUCGAUGUUAACUUUUUUACCACCUGAUUUUUACCCCUGCCUUUCAUCAGAUAGAUUGAAUGUGUACAGAUUUAAUCAACCCAGAACAUUUUUAUCUGUUUCAGUAACAAACUGUGGUCUGCAUGUAAACUUUAACACAUGGAAUCUAGCUCAUGUAACCUAAACAGUUUCUUUCUGUUUCUGUUUCCCUGUCUGCUGGUCUUUGUCCAUGUUUCUCACCUUUUUACCACAAAUAAAACAUCUCAGUCCACCUCAA